rnacentral:rRNA from 1 species
UCAGCAAUGACCUCGCGCGGUUGGAUGGACCGAUGUUCGAUUAGCUUGUUGGUGGGGUAAUGGCCUACCAAGGCGACGAUCGAUAGCUGGUCUGAGAGGAUGAUCAGCCACACUGGGACUGAGACACGGCCCAGACUCCUACGGGAGGCAGCAGUGGGGAAUAUUGGACAAUGGGCGCAAGCCUGAUCCAGCAAUGCCGCGUGUGUGAAGAAGGCCUUCGGGUUGUAAAGCACUUUUAUCAGGAGCGAAAUACCACGGGUUAAUACCCUAUGGGGCUGACGGUACCUGAGGAAUAAGCACCGGCUAACUUCGUGCCAGCAGCCGCGGUAAUACGAAGGGUGCAAGCGUUAAUCGGAAUUACUGGGCGUAAAGCGUGCGUAGGUGGUUUUUUAAGUCUGCUGUGAAAUCCCCGGGCUCAACCUGGGAAUGGCAGUGGAUACUGGAAAGCUAGAGUGUGAGAGAGGAUGGUGGAAUUCCCGGUGUAGCGGUGAAAUGCGUAGAGAUCGGGAGGAACAUCAGUGGCGAAGGCGGCCAUCU